rnacentral:ncRNA from 1 species
AUAUGUAUAUUUAAUCAUUAAUGUAUUAUAGAUUAUAUGAUAGGGGUUAAUUUUUUAAUAAUCACCUAACCUAGACCUUGAAUAUACACCCCCUAACCUUCUAAAUCAUCAACCCAUAACCGAUAACCCUUCUGAAGACGCAAUGUGAUUUAUUCCCAUUUCUCUGCAUGUCAAAGUGAAGAAAUUCAACCAAGUGCGAGUAAACGGAGGGAGAAAAUAUGACUCUCUUAAGGUAUCUAGAUGCCUCAUCAUCUAAUUAGUGGCGUGCAUGAAAGGAUCAUUAACGAGAUUCCCAACUAUCUGUAACUACUAUAUUAUAGAGAAACCACAUCCAAGGGAAUGAGCUUGGUAGAAUUAGUGAGGAAAGAAGACCAUGGUGAGCUUGACUCUAGUCCUAACCCAUUCAUAGUUUGGGA